UAUAUGACAAUAACUCAGAACAAAUUCAUAUUGAUAAUUUCGGAUAACUUUGAUAAAAAGAUAUGUAAUGGAAUCAACCAAAACUUCAGACAGCUGUCAGUAUGACAAUAUUUACACAACUAUCAAUACUUUGUUGAACAGUUACCAAGCAAGAAAUGCUUAAUUUGGUUCAGUCUGUGGUGUGAAAAGGUUGCAUUAACAAUUAAAGAAAGAAACACUUAAGCAAAACAUGGGCAGGUCCUUAAUUAUUAUUUUUUUAAUCAAUUUCACUGGUAGCCUACAGUAUUAAGAAUUUGUGGGUAUAAUAUUUCACAGAUCACUAUUUUGCCAUACUCACUUACAUAAAUGAACUAGUGGCCUGCACCCACUAGUAAAACAAUUCUAUCUGAUUUUUGGAUUGACUUUGGAUAAAUUCUUGUACUACAAGGUAAUUCAGUCAAGAGCAGUGAGUGAUUUACUUUCAUUUUCAUACAUUAAAGACUCUGACAGCAGAGCUAGUAAAUUAGGCGCGGUCCCUUUAAGAGACAAACGCAUCCAUUAUGAUGAUACACAUCCGAUUUUUUUUUUGCAAAUCUUUACUUUCACUUAAGACAUAACCACAUACUUAUUCGAACACACUUUCCAACACGGGUAUUUCGACAUAUUUUGUAUGUAUUUGUUGUCGGUACAAAAGCAAGAAGACUUUGAGACGCGUCUCUGCUUGCUCCCUGAACAACACCGCGCUGCUGAAUUGAGCUCUUUUGCUUUUCGCUCUUUUUUCUGUUUAUUUAAACUGCGAUUUGAAUUUGUUCGUUCAGGUCCAGGAGGAAGUGAACGUCCUGAACGACAGCUCUGUUCAGUGUUGCUGUCCCUGUCCGCGAUACGCGCGGCUCUCUCUCGUGCACACGCGCCAUCAGCUGCUCAGUUCAGUUUCCCGCAGCGCGGGGCUGAAGCCAACUUGAUGUAUUGAAUGCUCGGAGCACGUUAUAAAACGUAUUCUUAAAAUACACAUUUCUGUUUUAAUAAAUGGUCAUAUUAAAUCAUAGCAUAACACAUAAGUAGGUACAAAAAUAAUCAGUGAUGAAUGCGACCCUUUUGGUCUCAGUGUAGCUCCCUGCUUUACCAUGUUAUGCAACGCUGAGCAAUUGCUGCGACGUUAAGCCUGACAGAGAAAUCUCACAAGCACAUAUAAACACUCAUUUUCAUAUGUGUAAUAUAUUCUUCUAAUUGUUUUGUGCCGUUUCGCUGCAGUGUUUUAAUGUGAAAGGCUGUAAAUGUGUACUUCAAGUGUUCAGAGAAAUACAUCGCGAGCUCAUCUGUGACGUUCAGCAUGAUGAUUCAGUUAGAAACCAGCUAAGACCAGCGUGACAGUGGCCAAAACUACUUUAAAACCAUAUAAUAUAUUAUUCUAAUUGUUUUGUGCCGUUUCGCUGCAGUGUUUUAAUGCGAAAGGCUGUAAAUUCUCUGUGGACUUCAAGUGUUCAGAGAAAUACAUCGCCAGCUCGCGGACAUUUGGCUGCCGCGAAUAUAUCAUGUUAUUACUUUAAACAGUUCAGAAACAUCUGAAUUUAGCUCUUGGUGUGUUCUAACGUGUGGAUUGCGUGCAAUCGCCGUUUUAAAAGGUCUUAAAUAAGAAUGAAUUCGCUCAUUGUGAGCUCCGUGGAGACAGCAGCAGUGAUUCUUCUCUCAUCUUUCUGACUGCUCUCUGCCCAGAAAUCAAUUAUUAAUGAGCCCUGACCCCUGUAAUAAUCAGAUAUGUUGGUUUAGCUUGUCAGUUUGAGGGAAAUUGUAUUAUUUACUUGGUAUUUUUAACCGGUUUAAAAGUGAAACGAAACCCGGCCGACUCCUCCCUUAAUCUCGGAUAUUGCAACUAGGGGCGCAUUUUUUCUCAGUUAAUGUAAGUCUAUGGGUAAUGUAUUUGACAUUUAAAAAUUAAUAAAAAAAAAACUUUAAGUCUGAUCAGUCUGAAAAGAUAUAGCAACCAGCACCGCUCUAUCCCGCAGGUUUCUGCCGAGUUUGGGGCUUGUGGCUUUAAAGCCCUAGGAGGAGUAGCGUUCAGAAUUUCUGUCAGAAAAAUAAUAAUAAGAAAAAAAAGAAGAAGAAGAAGUUUAAAUAGCAUAACAGUAUGUUGGCUUGUUGCCAAGCCAACAUAAUAACUAGAAGGUACAUUUCCUGAAGAAAAUGUGAGUGGUGCUUGCAGUGGCAAAACUCGCCCCUCUGUUGCUAGGGUGUUGCAAUGAGGUUGCUAGGGUACAUGGGGUGGUUGCUAGGGCGGUUGCUAGGGUCCCCAUGAUGGUUGCUAGGGCCGUUGCUAAGGUACCCAGGGUGGUUGCUAGGGUAAUCGGGAUGGUUGCUAGGGUGUUGCUAUGUGGUUGCUAGGGUA